rnacentral:lncRNA from 10 species
UGCCCAAAUGGGCCUUUGAUUGGCAGCUGUUGCUUCCUUCCUACUCCCUCCCACACACCCAGGAGCUCCAGCCUGUUAUGGGAUGGGCAUCCUACCAGGAACCAAGGAUGCUAAGAUGUCCUCCAAAAUGGAUUGCCUCAUAUCUAGUACCCGCCUGCUGCAGGCUUCUUCAUCUAGUUCCUCUGGGGACACACUGUGCAGCUAAUUCAUCCAGGCAGAUUCACUGGGAAGCUGUUGCUCAUGAGGGUAUUUCUGAGACUUUUUUUUGUGACCUUGCUGUAUGACUGGUGUAAUGAAGAAUCUCCAGGUGGAGAAAUGAUCCUGAAUUAUCCAGUGGGCCCUACAUGUCACCACAUUGCGAUCCUUCUAAGUAGGAAGCAGAAGAUCUGACACAUGCAGGAGAGGGGAAGGCAAUGUGACCAUGGAGGCAGAGAGGGGAGUGAUGUGGCCACAAACCAAGGAUUGUUGGCAGCUGCCAGUGGCCGAAGGGGCAAUGAAUGGAUUCUCCUUUGGAGCCUCUGGAGGGAGAAUGGCCCUGCUAACACCUUGAUUUUGGCCCAGUGAUACUGAUUUUGGACUUCUGCCCUCUAGAACUGUGAGGGAAUACUUUUCUGUUGCUUUAAGCCAUUGAAUUUAUGAUGAUUUGUUACAGCACCCACAGGAAACAAAUGCAUGGAUCUAACUUGAACCUAGUGAGUUAGAUUACUUCAGGGAAACACAAUAAAUAGUUAACAGGGCUUGUCAGGGGGGUGGGAGUGAGAUGAAAGUGUGAAGGCAACUUCUAUGGUUUACUUUUAUAUUUCCCUAUUUUUCAAAUCUUUUGCAAGAAAAUGAAUUCAUAUACUAUUUUAAAAAACAUAUAAAAUAUGAGCAAAAAGAUUUAUUGUAUCUCUUUAAAAUAAUUUAGAACAAGUAAUGGCUGCAGAACCUUAAAGGGUUUUUCUAGCAUGUUUCCAAGAUACAGUCUUGAUUAUUUGAGAUUGACAUGAAGAUGGCCCAGACUGUGCCACAACACAGCACUUGACACCAAAUGUUAGACUGUAAUGGGCCGUGUGAGUAUUACUCAGUGUGGCCAUUUCAUUAUCAAAUAUCUAUUUAUUUCAGAUUUCAAACACGAAUACAAGCUUCUCCUUUCUUUCCUUCCUUUCUCUUUUUCUCCUUUCUACAGCAAGUUCAGGAAUGUGCUAGGUAUGACCUGGGAUAGAAAGAGCAUAUACUCAGCUUUUGCCUUCAAGAAAAUUGGAUAUUGGCUUGGGAGAUAAGAUAAAUGAAAAGGAAGCAGAUGAUCUGUUAUAGAAGAGAUAACACUGUAAGCCCAAAUGUAUGUGAUUAAGUUCUAAAAGUGUAAACCAAUAGGGAGUGCUGUGAGGUGUCACCACGGGCGCAGAUUGCAGCAGAUCUGACCAUACAAGUGUAAAUAAAACCCUAUUGAAUGCCCCCUCUCCCUCCCCAAUUGUUCUGAGUGGUUGCUUCAAGAUUUCUUCUCAUCGUUCUCAAAUUGUUACUGUGAGAUUAACUGGCAAACAUUUCUCCUUAACAUAAGAAGUGUGAAUGGAAUCCUACCAAGUGAUUUUGCCAAUAGUUCCUAUUCCUGCUGCAAACAGUGGUGUGCUCAGGCUUAAGCUGUAACAUGUCCACACUCACCUGUCACUUGGGAAUGCCUCUGUUGGAAUGCAACAUGCCCACUUAUCACACAGCCGGCAUGAGAGGCAGAGUGGAGUUUAACCAAGCAUUCUGCCCCCAAAGUCUGCAGAUGUAGCCAGUGCCUUCAGAAAAGGGAAGGGAAACUAACCCUGUUGAGUAUCUACUAUGUGCUAGGCAUUCUGUUAAGCACUUUUACACACAUCAUUUAAUCCUCGUGACAGUAUUUAGAAAUAGCUAUCAUUUCCCAGUUCUGUAGAUGAGGAAGAAAAGGUAGGCUCAGAGAGGGUAGGUAAGUUGUCUAAGGUCACAUAGCUGGUACAUAGUAGUAGAGCUAGGGUGCAAACCCAAGAUUUUCUGAGUCCAAAGCACAUGCCUAUUCCAUCAUUUCGGUAAUAAGAAUAAAUGUCUUUCAAAUGUAGUGGUGAGAGAUGAAUAAAAAGCCGUCCUUGGUGAUCCUGGGGAGUCUACACCCUCUGCCUGCCUGGCUCCACAUCAAGCUUGUGUUUGCCAGCACUUACACCCCUGCAUUUCCCUCCAAUCCCUGUCAUCUCCCUUGUGGAGUCCUCUCCUCCUCUCCUACCCGUUGGUCCCCUUUUUCACCCAUCCUUCAGCCAUUUAAUGAUCUCAUCUUUAAUUCCUGUUUAUAACUCCAUGAGCUCCUCGAUCACUGUCUCCUGAGAUGUCCUUUUUGUCACUGGAACUUGUAUUAAAGUGGUUUUGUAAUGGGUAUUUCUGUUUCUUUUGUCCUACUCUGAAUUUCCUGAGGGCAGGGACUACAUCUCUUUUAUUCUUCUAUGUUUCCCUCAGGUUCUGUGGUUAUGCAUUGGCAAUUAGCAAUUCUUUCUUUUUUUUUUUUUUUAUAUGGGAUCUCACUGUAUUGCCCAGGCUGGUGUGCCUUGGCACAAUCUUGGCUCACUGCAGCCUCCACCUCUUGGGUUCAAGUGAUCCUCACCACUCAGUCUCUUGAGUAGCUGCUGGGACUACAGGCACGUGCUACCAUGCCUGGCUAAUUUUUUGUAUUUUUUGGUAGAGACAGGGUUUCAUCAUGUUGGCCAGGCUAUUCAAACUCCUGGGCUCCAGUGAUCGGCCUGCCUCGGCUCCCAAAAUGCUGGGAUUACAGGCAUGAACCACCAUGCCUGGGCUAGCAAUUAUUUCUUGACUUGAAUUGCUUCCUGGUUGCUCACAGAAGUCUGCUGCAACCUCUUCUCCCCAGCUUAUUCCUUUUGUGCCACUUCACUCCCAAUUCCCACCCUUCACUAUCCAUGACUCUGUCCUGAGCUCAGAGAUAACUCAGUGAAUAAAACCUUCCACCAUGAUGGCAAUGUUCUGUAUUCACGCUGUCCAACGUGGUAGCCACUAGCCACAUGUGGAUUUUGAGCCCUUGAAACAUGGCUAGUGUGACUGAAGAACCGACUUUUUAGUUGCAUGUUAAAUAUAAUCAACCAAUUAAUUUAAGUAAUUUAUUUAAAUAAUAUAGGUAAAUUAAUUUACAUUUUAAUAGCUCCUGCCAUAUUGGAUCACAUAGCUGUCCAAACAUGGAAAAAACAAGCUCCUCCAUCUGAAGCCCAAACUUGAGUACAGGCUUUUGCAAAAUUCUGCAGAAGUAUAUUCUUAAGUUUACAGAAAUGAAGUCUGAUGGAAAGCUGUACAAUUCAUUUCCAAGCGUGUCGUGGCUCCCGUUUGUUCUCAAGUUCUCUUGAGCAAGUCAUCAUGCAGUCAGUCUGUGGACUCACGUGUAGACACCACCUGUUGUCUAUAGGGUGGCAGCUCCAUUAAAAUAACAUUCACAUCUAUAGGGGAACAUGGGGGAGAUGCCUAAGUGGUCUGUUAUGGAAUUGCCCUAAAAUCCCUCCAAAGACAUUGAGAUGCUAACUAGAAAAAAUUGCUUCUUUUUUCCCCCUCUUCAUUUCUGUCAAAUUUAAUUUUCUUGUUUUCUUUUCCUGAAACUCUAGUAGCUGUCAAGAAUGUAUUGCUGGAAGCCAAAUCUGUCAUUUUGUCUUCGGCAGUUGAAGAACUUUCAUUUUUCUUUCUAGGAGUAAUGCAUUUCUACUUAGAGAACAGCUAAGUGAAAAUGUACUCCUGAAACAAGAUUUUUUCUGCAGGCUUCCUUGAAUUUGUCAAAAAGACAAAAAUCUUACCAGCUUCACUUUGUAAUAAUGCCCCAAAGUUACUUGGAAUCAUCUUCCACCUACUUUUCUUGUCUCUAUUAUUUAAUAUGUGUAGUAGGGAAGAAGAAAAUGAACACAUUUACAAUUUAAGGUUCUGCUUAUACAUGUAUUGUCAAAGCUAAUUGUUUUAAACAAGGUGUUUUAUCUUUGAUUAAAGUGAUCAAUGCCUAUAAGUAUAAAAGAAAUGAUAGUAGAGUUUCAUGGUCUCUUUCAU